UACUCCUACGGGAGGCAGCAGUUGGGAAUAUUGCACAAUGGGGGCAACCCUGAUGCAGCAAUGCCGCGUGAGUGAUGAAGGCCUUCGGGUCGUAAAGCUCUUUUAGCAGGGAAAAAGGGAAACUUGAUGGUACCUGCAGAAAAAGCACCGGCUAACUCCGUGCCAGCAGCCGCGGUAAUACGGAGGGUGCAAGCGUUGUUCGGAAUUAUUGGGCGUAAAGCGCAUGUAGGCGGCUACCUAAGUCUGAUGUGAAAGCCCGGAGCCUAACUCCGGAAGUGCAUUGGAUACUGGGUGGCUAGAGGACGAGAGAGGAAAGUGGAAUUCCUGGUGUAGAGGUGAAAUCCGUAGA
rnacentral:rRNA from 1 species